rnacentral:lncRNA from 10 species
AGGGGAACAACACCCUCUUUGUUAUAAUUCUGUUUGGGUCGGCUUUCAGCAGGCAAAUGAGAUGGGAGGAGAUUUCAUGGAUGUUUCUUAGUUGAGAAGAGUACAUGAAUGUGAAACCCACAAUAGCAAUAGCAAGGACCAGCACAGGACGAAGCCCGCCGCCGACUGAGUGCCAAGUGUCAUAGUCUGUAGUUUAAUCCCCGCAUCUAACUGUCCUCAUGAGGUGGAGGUGAAGGUCAAGCACAGAGCCCUCCUGGCAUAUCCAGUGCUCUCUCCGUUAUGAGGAGGGGUAAGGAGUGAGGAUGGUGUUUCCGGGAAAGCAGAGGUGAGGCCCGCUGGACUCCAGGCAGCUCUCUGCUCUCCUUGCCUUUUGCCUCAGCUCCCCGCCUCUCACAGCGAGCCUCCGGAGAUUGGGAAGCGGCGUUUCCUCACCUGCCAGUGCUCCUGUACUCCAGCUCCGCAGACCCCACUCCAGCCUCGCGCCUUGCAUCACACACAUCAGAGCAGCAUCUCUCAGGCCAAGCCCUUCCACAUUUCUGCUGCGCUCCUGGCAUGUGGCUAACCCCGCAUGGCUUCCUACAUUUAGUCAUGGAUACCGGAGAUGGGAAGGGCUUUAAAUGCCAGUUGGUCAAGGCUCAUUUCACAUAUGAGGGAAAUGAGAUCCAGAGAAGCUGAACAACUUACCUGAGAUCACACAGUUUGCACUGUAGAAUUGGAUAAGAACCCCGCUCUUCAGCUCUCAGCCAGCAUCCUCGUGCUGUGUGAAGUGAUGGGUAUAUUGGCCAUAGCUCGGGAUGUGCUACACCUGGUGCAUGUGCUUAUCCUUUUAUAAGCUGUGCUCUGUGAGCAUUGCUGUAGGAGGCAGGGUGGAGACAUGGGAGAGGGCAGUGCUCAGAGGUUCUGAGUUCUAGUCCUGCUGGCACCAACUGGCUGUGAUCCUGGGCAAGGCCCACUGCCUCUUUGGGGCCUGUUUUUCUUGUUUUAAAGUAAAAAGUUUGGACUGCAAGGCCUCUUUCAGUUUUAAAAGUCUGAAUCAAAUCCCAGGACUUUGGGAGGCCGAGGCGGGUGGAUUGUUUGAGGUCAGGAGUUUGAGACCAGCCUGGACAAGAUGGUGAAACCCCGUCUCUACUAAAAAUACAAAAAAAUUAGCUGGGCGUGGUGGUGUGCACCUGUAGUCCCAGCUACUUGGGAGGCUGAGGCAGGAGAGUCGCUUGAACCCGGGAGGUGGAGGUUGCAGUGAGCCGAGAUGACACCACUGCACUCCAGCCUGAGAGACAGAGCGAGACUCGGUCUUAAAAAAAAAGUCUGAAUCGGUACUAAAUGAUGGACCCACAUUGAAAGAAAGCCUGCUAUUUGAAGAUGCUUGCUAGUGAAUGCCAGGUCUUUUUGAAAAGCGAACACUCCAUCAGUUGUUGUUGGGAUCAUUUCAGAUUUUUGCAUGUCAGUCGGUCUGGAGAGGAGAUGAUGCUCUGAAGGUGCUGCCUGGCUCUGAACUGUGGAAGCCAAGAGCUCUGGUGGGGUUGGAACUGAAGGUCCACCACAUUUGCCCCAAGAAGAACAUCCUUGCUGGCCUUGCUGAGGGAGCCUGGCAUGCAUCAUGCUUGGCAAUUGUCUUCCUGAGACUCCCCUGCUGGGACAGCGACAGGGCAUGGGGCCCUGAAUGCAUGACAACAACAACUGCAGGUCUCCUGACCCUUGUUUGUAGAGGUGGGUCAUCUCUAGUACCGACCUCCAUCCACCUGCGAAGCAGGGCUGGUCACUUUGUUACCAGCCACAGCCCUCCCCUGGAGGGAUCUGCAGUGUAAACGGAUCAUGUGAGUGCUGACCUUUGCAAAGGUCCAAAUGUGGUCAAUUCAGUUAUUCAUACCAGGCAAGGAAGCUGCCUUAUGAAUAAUUCAAAGUUGUUGCAAAUCCACAAACCUUUUUCACAUUGCCUGCUUGCAGUAGGCUCUCCAUAAAUGUUUACUGAAUCACUGAAUAAAUUAACAUAUGAAUGAAUAUUUUGCAAUAAGCUUUUGGUAUUUACAUUUGCACAUCCAUCUGUUGAUGCUCUGAGGAUCAGCAGCAGUCCUCACAAAAGGGCUCAGGCAUGCUCCCAAAACAGGCCAGAAAAGCCAAGUGGGCCAUGGUUCUCUCUUGCUCUGCAAGGGUGGCGGGGAAUAGAAAAAAAUGUUCCCAUGGCUGAUACAGCCUCUAGCUAGAAGCUGUGAGAUUCCUGACACACGCCAUGCCAGAUUUGUGUGGCUUAACACUUUUAUUCUGCUUUUAUAACCCUCUCCUCUAGCUUUGGUUAAAACUACUAUGUGGUCAGCAGAAUGGCCCCCCAAAGAUGUUUGGGCCCUCACCCCUGGAAACUGUGACUAUGUUACAUCAUGUGGGAAGAGGACUUUGCAGAUAUGAUUAAAGUUAUGGACCUUACAAUAGAGAAUUAUCUUGAAUUAUCUGGGCAGGCCCAACCAAAUCACAUGUGUCCUCAAAAGCGAAGAACUCUCUUCACGGGAGUCCGAGAGAUGGGGCUGAAGGAGAAGUGGGAGGGAUGGAAAGGUGAGAAUGCUCCAUGGGCUGUUAGGGGCUUGCAGAGGGUGGGGCAGUGAGUCCAGGAAUGCAGGUGGCCCCAAGGAGCUGA